rnacentral:misc_RNA from 1 species
CAACCCUCAAGCUCUGCUUGGUAUUGGGCUUCAGGCGUCAGCCUGGGCCUUAAAAUCAGUGGCGGUGCCGUCUGGCUCUAAGCGUAGUAAAUCUCUCGCUAUAGAUGUCAGGUGGAGACUUGCCAUAACCCCCAAUUUUUACA